GUUUCGUUGAUUUUUCUGUAUUAUUCAUCCACUUUCUAUUUAGUUGAUUUUUAUUCUUUGUGUGUCUGUGUGUGUGUGUGUGUGUGUGUGUUUGCUGGGGAUUGAACCCAGGGCCUUAUGCAUGCAAGGCAAGCACUCUACCAACUGAGCUAUAUCCCUAGCCCAUGAUUUUCACUCUUGAGCAGUUCCUUUCUUUUGCUUAUUUUAGAUAUAAUUUGCUCAUCUUUUUCCAGCUUCCUAAAGUAUUGCAUUUAAGUCACUGAUUUGAAGUCUCUUCCUUCUUGUCCUCCCCCUCCUCCUUCCUUCUUCCUUCUUCUUUUGCGUUGAGGGGGUUCUUAGUAUAUUGCCCAAGCUGGGCUCAAACUCCUGGGCUCAAGUGAUCCUUCUGCCUCAGCUCCCAAGUAACUGGGACACAGGCAUGCACCACCAUAUCUGCUUUCUUUCUUGUAUAGGGCGGUGGCGGUGGGGAUGCUGAGGAUUGGACCUGGGAGCAAUUUACCACUAAGCCACAUCCUCAGCCCUUUUUAUUUAUUAUUUUAAGUCACAGUCUCAUUAAGUUGUUUAGGGCCUCACUAAAUUGCCAAGGCUGGCUCAGACUUGCGAUCUUACUGCCUCUGUCUCCCAAGCCUCUGGGACUUCAGGUGUGCACCACCAUGCCUGUCUUACAUAUUUCCGUUUUAGCACAGCUUUAGCUACAUUCAAUACAUUUGGAUGUCAUAUUUUUGUAAGCAUUCAGUUCAUACUGUUUUCUGAUUUCUCCUUUAAUCAGUGACUUACUUAGAAAUGUGUUAAUUUUCAAAUACAGUUGUCCCUUGGUAUCUACAGGGAGUUGUUUCCAAGAUCCUUGUUUCCAAGUCCCUUGCAUAAAGUGGCACAAUAUUUGCAUGGAAUCCAUAUACAUCCUUGAAAUCAUCUCUAAAUCACUUAUAAUAACUUAUCAAUGUAAAUGCUAUGUAAAUAGUUAUACCUUAUUGUUUAUGGAAUAAUGACAGAAAUUCUGUGCAUUCUGUACAGGUGCAAUUAUUUGAAUAUUUUCCAUCCAUGGUUGGUUGAAUCCAUGAAUCUGGACCCAUGGAUACAGAGGGCCAACUAUAUUUGGAGAUUUUUCAGAUUAUCAUUUUGCUGUUUGUUGCUAAUUUAAUCCUUUGAGGCAGAGAAUUUAUUCUAUUUUAUUGAGACUUGUUUUGUGGCCUAGCAUGUGGUUCAAUUGUGGUAUAUAUUCUGUAGUCAGGUAGAAUGUUCUAUAUAUGUGUAUUCAUCUUUCUUCCUUCAGUUCUACCAGAUUUUGCUUCAUGUAUUUUGAAAUUCUGUUAUUGAGUGUAUAAGCAUUUGUAAUUGUCACAGUUUUUGAUAAAUUGACCCUUUUAUUAUUAUGAAAUGCUCUCUUGAUUUCUGGUAAUAUGCCUUCUGAAGUCUGCUUUCUUCAGUAUAAACAUAUAAAGAAAGGUAGUUCAGCUUUCUCUUUUUAAAUGUUUUUUUACUUGUAGAAAAACACAAUGACCUUUAUUUUAUUUAUUUAUUUUUAUGUGGUGCGGAUGAUCAAACCCAGGGCCUCGCACAUGCUAGGGAAGUACUCUACCGCUGAGCCACAAUCCCAGCCCCAUAGUUCAACUUUCUUAUGCUUAGUUUUUUUCAUGGUAUAAACUUUUUCCAUUUUCUUUUUUUUGUUUAUUUGUGUUUGUGUUUUUUUUGGGGGGGAGGUGGUUUGUUUGUUUGGUUUUUGGUCCUGGGGAUUGAAUGAAGGGGUGUUUAACCACAUCCCCAGCCCCCUUUUUUUUCUUUAAGAUUUUUUUUUAAAUGCCAAUGGAUGUUUAUUUUUUUAUUGAUAUGUGGUGCUGAGAAUGAUACCCAGUGCCUCACACAUGCUAGGCAACUGCUCUGCCACUGAGCCACAACCCCAACCAUUAUAUUUUUUAUUUUGAGACAAGUUCUUGCUAAGUUGCUUAGGGCCUUGCUAAAUUGCUGAGGCUGGCCUUGAAUUGUGAUCCUUCUACCUCAGCCUCCUGAUCCUCUGGGAUUAUAGGUGUGCACUACUGAGCCUGGCUCAGUCUUACUUCUUAAAAAAGUCUGAUAAUGUCUGCCUUUUCAUUGGUCUGUUUAAUCCAUUUACAUUUAAAAGUUGGGCUUAAAGUGUUUCAACUUAUUAUUUUGUGUUUGUCCCAUCCAUUCCUUGUUACUUCUUUCCUCUGUUCCUUACUUAGUGGUUUAUCAAGUGUUUCUGGUUUUCUCCUUUCUACACUACUGGCUUGUUAGUGUUAAUGAAUCAGUAAGACUCCCUGUUCUGCCAGGAACCCCCUUCCUGUACCAUGGUCUGGAAAGUGCCUCUAGCUAGAAACCCAGAGUUUCCUUCUUAUCAUAGUCCUGUGCUAUCUGUUGUCUGAUAUCUGAAAAUUGUUGUUUAAAAUAUUAUGUCCAGCUUUUUUUUUACUUGCUUACAACUGGUAUCAAUUAUUUUGUCAUGGCCAGAAUAGUAAGUUCCUCCUCUUUCCUGAGAACUUCUUCACUCCUAAGGUCACUGCAUCUUUCUCCUAUAUGAUCUGUUUCUGCCUCACUCCUGAAUCUAUUUUCAUCUAACAUGUAUGAUAGCUUCCAUUCCUGAAGAAGAAAGAAAAACUCCUUUGACCAAACACCCCCCUCCAACCACAACACCAAUUCUCUGUUCCUCUUUAUAGCCAAACUUCUGAAAAUAAUUCUGUUUUCUCACUUCUUCCCAUUCCCUCUUACUCCUUCUAAUAAUUCCUACCCUUACCACUCUACCAAAAUUCAUGUUUGACCAUGAUACCAGUGAUCUUCAUGUCGCCAGAUGCAGUUUGUCCUUUUCCUGUCUUCAUGUAUGCAUGUAUUUCGUAGUGCUGGAGAUUGAACCCAGGGGCACUCUACCACUCAGCUACAUCCCCAGCAGUUUUUACUUUUAAUUUUAAGACAGGGUCUCGCUGAGUUGCCCAGGCUGGCCUCAAUCAUGAGAACCUCCUAGUUCAGCCUCCCGAGUAGCUGUGAUCACAGGUGUACACCACUGUGCCCAGCUUGACUAUCUUAUCUCAGCAACAUUCAACAUGAAUGUUCAUCCCCUCUCUGCUCUCUUCUUGUGAUAUGUCUGAUAUUGAACUCUCCUGUUCUUUCUCAGUGUGCUUUGGUGGCUCUCCUCUACCCAACCUCUAUAAAGUACCAGUCCCUCCAGGUGCUUGGGCUAUAUUUGCUACCUAUGCUAAUUCCUAUGGUAAUCUCACUCAUUCUCAAACCUCUAAAGACCAUUUCUAUAUUGAUCAUUCCCAAAUUACAUCUCCAGUGGUUAAUUCUCUGGCCUUUUGGCCCGUGUUUCCAGACAUGCUGGACAUAACCCUCUUUGAUGUCUCACUGCCACUAUAAACUUGAAUGACAGAAUGUAACUUUAGCCAGGCACUGUGGAGGCGCAUGCCUGCGAUCACAGCAACUCAGGAGGCAGACGCAGGAAAAUGACAAGUUCAAGGCCAGCCUGGGCAACAGUGAGAUCCUGCGUCGAAAUACAAAGAGCUGGGGGUGCUGAGGUUGUGGCUCAGCAGUAAAGUGCUCACCUAGCAUGUGCAGGGCCCUGGGUUCGAUCCUCAGCACCACAUAAAAAUAAAUGAAUGGAAUAAAGAUAUUGUGUCCAACUACAACUAAGAAAUAAAUAUUUUUUAAAAAAUACAAAGAGCUGGGGAUGGAGGUCAAUGGCAGAGUUCUUAUCUGGCACAUGUAAGGACAGGUUUGAUCCCCAACCCCAGCUCCAAAAAAAGAAAGAAUAUUUAAAGGGUUUAAUUCCAUUCUUGAGGGAAUGAGUUCUCAUGAGAAGAGCCUAGUUAUUAUGAGAAUAAGUUAUGAAAUCAAAUUUGGCUUCCUUGGCUCUCUUUUGCUUCCUCUUUCAUUCACCAUGUUACCCUUUUGUUUUUCCACCAUGAGAUAAAACAGCUUGAGUUCCUUGCCUGAUACUGGCACCAUACUUGUGGAAUUCCAGCCUUCAGAACUGUGAGCCAAAAUAAACUUCUUUUCUUUAUAAAUCAUCCAUUCUCAAGUAUUUUGUUAUAGCAACAGAAAACAGACUAAAAUAAUCCCUCAUGUGACAUAACCAUUAUCUUUGCUACAAGCACAUAGAUUAGCCUGACGCUGUGGGGCACACCUGUAAUCCCAGCUACUUGGGACGCUGAGGCAGAAGGAUUGCAAGUUUACGGAUAGCCUCCAACUUUGUGAGACCUUGUCUUGGCCCUUGCUCCUUGCUGGGAAGAUUGAUGUUUUGAGAGCUUCUACAGAAUACAUUUCUUCUCAAACUAGAAAUAAAGUUCAUAUAAUCCAGUGUAAUGUGAGGGAGGGUGAUAUGUUUCACAACACUGAAUUGGAACUGAUCAAAGUCACAGGGCUUCCUGAUACUUUGUGAUAAACAAUGUAGC
rnacentral:lncRNA from 1 species